GACGAACGCUGGCGGCGUGCUUAACACAUGCGAGUCGAACGGAAAGGCCCUGCUUGCCGGGUACUCGAGUGGCGAACGGGUGAGUAACACGUGGGUGAUCUGCCCUGCACUUCGGGAUAAGCCUGGGAAACUGGGUCUAAUACCGGAUAGGAGCCAUUUUUAGUGUGAUGGUUGGAAAGUUUUUUCGGUGUAGGAUGAGCUCGCGGCCUAUCAGCUUGAUGGUGGGGUAAUGGCCUACCAAGGCGGCGACGGGUAGCCGGCCUGAGAGGGUGGACGGCCACAUUGGGACUGAGAUACGGCCCAGACUCCUACGGGAGGCAGCAGUGGGGAAUAUUGCACAAUGGGCGCAAGCCUGAUGCAGCGACGCCGCGUGGGGGAUGACGGCCUUCGGGUUGUAAACGCCUUUCGCUGGGGACGAAGCUUUUUGUGACGGUACCUAGAUAAGAAGCACCGGCUAACUACGUG
rnacentral:rRNA from 1 species